rnacentral:lncRNA from 1 species
AUGAAGAUCAGACCACACUUCGGUACUUAGAAGUUUCAUGAUUACUCAAGGGAUUGGAUCUUGCAAGUCCCCAACCGAGGAGUUUCCCUCACUCGGGAACUUAGGGGAGCACUGUUUGUACCAUACUUGACCAAUCCCGAAACUACCGAGCACCGGCCAACGCUAUACUGUCAAGGACCCAGAAGAGUUCCCCUCCGACCAGGAGGUCAAUCACUACUCGACACGUGUCAAGAUUAGAAGCCAAUCAGAGCGCAGCACGUGUCGACAUCAAGAACCAAUC